CCUGCCUCCAGGUAAGACUGACCAACAACCAGCUGAAAUACCUGCCUCCAGGUAAGACUGGCCAACAACCAGCUGAAAUACCUGCCUCCAGGUAAGACUGACCAACAACCAGCUGAAAUACCUGCCUCCAGGUAAGACUGGCCCACAACCAGCUGAAAUACCUGCCUCCAGGUAAGACUGGCCAACAACCAG